UACGGGAGGCAGCAGUGGGGAAUAUUGCACAAUGGGCGAAAGCCUGAUGCAGCUAUGCCGCGUGUAUGAAGAAGGCCUUAGGGUUGUAAAGUACUUUCAUCGGGGAGGAAAAAACAAAACUAAUAAUUUUAUUUCUUGACGUUACCCGAAAAAGAAGCACCGGCUAACUCCGUGCCAGCAGCCGCGGUAAUACGGAGGGUGCUAGCGUUAAUCAGAAUUACUGGGCGUAAAGAGCACGUAGGUGGUUUUUUUAAGUCAGAUGUGAAAUCCCUGGGCUUAACCUGGAACUGCAUUUUGAAACUGAAGUACUAGAGUAUCGUAGAGGGAGGUAGAAUUCUAGGUGUAGCGGUGAAAUGCGUAGAUAUCUGGAGGAAUACCUGUGGCGAAAGCGGCCUCCUAAACGAAUACUGACACUGAGGUGCGAAAGCGUGGGGAGCAAACAGGGAUUAGAUACC
rnacentral:rRNA from 1 species